AUUGAACGCUGGCGGCAUGCCUUACACAUGCAAGUCGAACGGUAACAGGUCUUUCGGGAUGCUGACGAGUGGCGAACGGGUGAGUAAUACAUCGGAACGUGCCUAGUAGUGGGGGAUAACUACUCGAAAGAGUGGCUAAUACGGCAUGAGAGCUAAGGAUGAAAGCAGGGGACCUUCGGGCCUGGUGCAACUAGAGCGGCCGAUGGCAGAUUAGGUAGUUGGUGGGAUAAAAGCUUACCAAGCCUACGAUCUGUAGCUGGUCUGAGAGGACGAUCAGCCACACUGGGACUGAGACACGGCCCAGACUCCUACGGGAGGCAGCAGUGGGGAAUUUUGGACAAUGGGCGCAAGCCUGAUCCAGCAAUGCCGCGUGCAGGAUGAAGGCCUUCGGGUUGUAAACUGCUUUUGUACGGAACGAAAAGUCUUGGGUUAAUACCCUGGGAUCAUGACGGUACCGUAAGAAUAAGCACCGGCUAACUACGUGCCAGCCGCCGCCGUAACAC
rnacentral:rRNA from 1 species